ACGCUCGACACCUACGGGAGGCAGCAGUGGGGGAUAUUGCACAAUGGGGGAAACCCUGAUGCAGCAACGCCGCGUGAACGAAGAAGGCCUUGGUUGUAAGUUCUGUUCUUAGUGAAGAAGAAUGACGGUAGCUAAGGAGAAAGCUCCGGCUAACUACGUGCCAACAGCCGCGGUAAUCUGAGCGGGCUGGCAAGGC
rnacentral:rRNA from 1 species